UGUCACAUCCCGACCCUUAUAUUUUUACCUUAUUUACUAGCCUGAUUAUAAUAAGAAUUUUACCGUCUCCGUCAUUGAGUAAAUAGUUUAAUUGGUCCCUAGAGGGGUUUCGGGGACGAUUAUGUGCGGAGGAUUAUUCGUAUGAGGAAAAUACGACGACAGUAAAAAUGGUAAAUUUUAGCUAGUAAAAGGUAAUUUUUAUUCGGGUAUUAUNNNNNNNNNNNNNNNNNNNNGAACCGGUCAGAUUCUCGACCGAAAGGAGCAGGUGCUUAGGAACAAGACAAUCCCGCUUGUCAAGGUGCUGUGGAGAAGUCAUCAAGUAGAAGAAGCUACUUGGGAAUCAGAGGAGCAAAUGAAGCAGCAGUAUCCGUAUCUCUUCGGAUGACAUGUAUGUUAAUUUCGAGGACGAAAUUUUUAUAAGGAGGGGAGAAUUGUCACAUCCCGACCCUUAUAUUUUUACCUUAUUUACUAGCCUGAUUAUAAUAAGAAUUUUACCGUCUCCGUCAUUGAGUAAAUAGUUUAAUUGGUCCCUAGAGGGGUUUCGGGGACGAUUAUGUGCGGAGGAUUAUUCGUAUGAGGAAAAUACGACGACAUUAAAAAUGGUAAAUUUUAGCUAGUAAAAGGUAAUUUUUAUUCGGGUAUUAUUUUUUCGGGGUGUUUUUAUUUUUGGAAGAUUGGGUUAAGUGUUGUGGACCGGUUUGGGGUGAGGCCCAAAACCCUUUUUCUCUUCUCCCUCUCUCCCGAUUCUCUCUCCUCCCACCCGAUUUUCUCCUCUCUCCACCCGGAAAUUUCACCACCGCCGUCCGCCGCCGUCCGGCCACCACCGACCGCCAGACUGGUCCCGUUCGGACCCUUGCCUCUUCCUCUCUCAUCUUGGACCGGUGCACGCGCCCGGAACGCCGCCGUGAAGGAGCGGUCAACCCCGAAAGGUUCGACUGUCGGAAAGGGUCCUUCGCCGGAGCUCCGUCUUCCGGCCACCAUAGGUCGUGAUUUUUGGCUCAACUUGUAGCCCUCAUCUAGGUGAGUAAUCCCUCAAAAGGUUUCGGCUAAAUUCGAUUUCGUUAGGGAGGUUUGUUUAAUUGAAAGUUUUAGGGAUUUAUGGUUGUUUGUGUUCGAUCGACAUGGUUAGGCUUAGAAUUGGAGUUUGUGGUAGUUAGGAAUGUUGUAGAGGAGGUUGAGAGGAAGAUGCUGCCAAUUUUUGGUGAGCAUAGGAGGUCGCCGGAAAACGGCUGNNN
rnacentral:lncRNA from 1 species